UACGUAGGGUGCGAGCGUUAAUCGGAAUUACUGGGCGUAAAGCGUGCGCAGGCGGUGAUGUAAGACAGAUGUGAAAUCCCCGGGCUCAACCUGGGAACUGCAUUUGUGACUGCAUCGCUGGAGUGCGGCAGAGGGGGAUGGAAUUCUGCGUGUAGCAGUGAAAUGCGUAGAUAUGCGGAGGAACACCGAUGGCGAAGGCAAUCCCCUGGGCCUGCACUGACGCUCAUGCACGAAAGCGUGGGGAGCAAACAGG
rnacentral:rRNA from 1 species